rnacentral:rRNA from 1 species
UUUCCGCUAACCGGUGAGAAUGCCCUUAAAAACUAUAAAAAGUUAAAAGGAGCUGGUAUCAGGCACACCCCRGGUAGCCCAUUACACCUUGCUUAACCACACCCCCACGGGAUACAGCAGUGACUAACAUUAAGCUAUAAACGAAAGUUUGACUGAGUCAUAAUUUAACAGGGUUGGUAAAUUUCGUGCCAGCCACCGCGGUCAUACGAUUAACCCAAAUUAACAGAUCACCGGCGUAAAGCGUGUUUAAGUAUAAUACUCUAAUAAAGUUAAAACCUAACUAAGCUGUAAAACGUUAUAGUUAAUACCAAAAUAUGCAACUAAAGUGACUUUAAUCUGCACUGAACACACGAUAGCUAAGGCACAAACUGGGAUUAGAUACCCCACUAUGCUUAGCCCUAAACCCAAAUAGUUAAAAAACAAAACUAUUCGCCAGGGAACUACUAGCUAAUGCUUAAAACUCAAAGGACUUGGSGGUGCCCUAAACCCACCUAGAGGAGCCUGUUCUAUAAUCGAUAAACCCCGAUAAACCCUACCUCUUCUUGCCAAUACAGCCUAUAUACCGCCAUCGUCAGCUCACCCCAAUAGGGAUCCAAAGUAGGCAAAAUUAUAAAACCAUAAAAACGUUAGGUCAAGGUGUAGCAUAUGA